rnacentral:rRNA from 1 species
CACCCUUUAAAGAAAGCGUAAUAGCUCACUAGUCGAGUCGGCCUGCGCGGAAGAUGUAACGGGGCUAAGCAAUAUACCGAAGCUGCGGCAAAGUCUUAUGACUUUGGGUAGGGGAGCGUUGUGUAAGUGGAUGAAGGUGCAUCGAGAGGUGUGCUGGACAUAUCACAAGUGCGAAUGCUGACAUGAGUAACGAUAAUGGGGGUGAAAAACCCCCACGCCGGAAGACCAAGGUUUCCUGUCCCAUGCUAAUCAGGGCAGGGUUAGUCGGCCCCUAAGGCGAGGCAGAAAUGCGUAGUCGAUGGGAAACGGAUUAAUAUUUCCGUACUUAUAUAAUCAGUGAUGGAGGGACGGAGAAGGCUAGGCAAGCUUGGCGUUGGUUGUCCAAGUGAAAGCGAGUAGGCCGAGAAUUUAGGUAAAUCCGGAUUCUUAAAGCUGAGACGCGAGACGAGCUCCCAAGGGAGUGAAGUUGUUGAUGCCCUGCUUCCAGGAAAAGCUUCUAAACUUAUGAUUAUGUGAACCGUACCCCAAACCGACACAGGUGGUCAGGUAGAGAAUACUAAGGCGCUUGAGAGAACUCGGGUGAAGGAACUAGGCAAAAUGGUACCGUAACUUCGGGAGAAGGUACGCUCUUAUCGGUGAAGUCCCUCGCGGAUGGAGCUGACGAGAGUCGCAGAUACCAGGUGGCUGCAACUGUUUAUUAAAAACACAGCACUGUGCAAAAUCGUAAGAUGACGUAUACGGUGUGACGCCUGCCCGGUGCCGGAAGGUUAAUUGAUGGGGUUAGACUUCGGUCGAAGCUCUUGAUCGAAGCCCCGGUAAACGGCGGCCGUAACUAUAACGGUCCUAAGGUAGCGAAAUUCCUUGUCGGGUAAGUUCCGACCUGCACGAAUGGCGUAAUGAUGGCCACGCUGUCUCCACCCGAGACUCAGUGAAAUUGAAAUCGCUGUGAAGAUGCAGUGUACCCGCGGCUAGACGGAAAGACCCCGUGAACCUUUACUACAGCUUGGCACUGAACAUUGACCCUACAUGUGUAGGAUAGGUGGGAGACUUUGAAACCGCGUCGCUAGAUGUGGUGGAGUCGUCCUUGAAAUACCACCCUUGUAGUGUUGAUGUUCUAACGUUGGUCCCUGAAUCGGGAUUACGGACAGUGCCUGGUGGGUAGUUUGACUGGGGCGGUCUCCUCCCAAAGAGUAACGGAGGAGCACGAAGGUGGGCUAAUCACGGUUGGACAUCGUGAGGUUAGUGCAAUGGCAUAAGCCCGCUUGACUGCGAGAAUGACAAUUCGAGCAGGUGCGAAAGCAGGUCAUAGUGAUCCGGUGGUUCUGUAUGGAAGGGCCAUCGCUCAACGGAUAAAAGGUACUCCGGGGAUAACAGGCUGAUACCGCCCAAGAGUUCACAUCGACGGCGGUGUUUGGCACCUCGAUGUCGGCUCAUCACAUCCUGGGGCUGAAGCCGGUCCCAAGGGUAUGGCUGUUCGCCAUUUAAAGUGGUACGCGAGCUGGGUUUAGAACGUCGUGAGACAGUUCGGUCCCUAUCUGCCGUGGGCGUUGGAAGAUUGAAGGGGGCUGCUCCUAGUACGAGAGGACCGGAGUGGACGAACCUCUGGUGUUCGGGUUGUCAUGCCAAUGGCAUUGCCCGGUAGCUAAGUUCGGAAUCGAUAACCGCUGAAAGCAUCUAAGCGGGAAGCGAGCCCUGAGAUGAGUCUUCCCUGGCGCUUUAAGCGUCCUAAAGGGUUGUUCAAGACUAGAACGUUGAUAGGCAGGGUGUGUAAGCGCUGUGAGGCGUUGAGCUAACCUGUACUAAUUGCCCGUGAGGCUUAACCAU